rnacentral:rRNA from 1 species
CAGUCGCCACGGUAAUACGAAGGGGGCUAGCGUUGUUCGGAAUAACUGGGCGUAAAGCGUGCGUAGGCGGCUUCUUAAGUCGGAUGUGAAAUCCCUGAGCUUAACUUAGGAAUUGCAUUCGAUACUGGGAAGCUAGAGUAUGGGAGAGGAUGGUAGAAUUCCAGGUGUAGCGGUGAAAUGCGUAGAGAUCUGGAGGAAUAUCGAUGGCGAAGGCAGCCAUCUGGCCUAAUACUGACGCUGAGGUACGAAAGCAUGGGGAGCAAACAGGAUUAGAUACCCGGGUAGUCCCUGUCUCUUAUAC